rnacentral:rRNA from 1 species
AGUAAUCGCGAAUCAGCAUGUCGCGGUGAAUACGUUCCCGGGYCUUGUACACACCGCCCGUCACACCAUGAGAGCCGAUAACACCCGAAGUCCGUGAGGUAACCGUAAGGAGCCAGCGGCCGAAGGUGGGAUUGGUGAUUGGGGUGAAGUCGUAACAAGGUAGCCGUAGGAGAACCUGCGGCUGGAUCACCUCCUUUCUAGGGAG